CUCACACUAUAGAGCUGUCUGUCUCUCACUAUGGAGCUGUCUGUCUCUCACUAUAGAGAUGUCUGUCUCUCACUAUAGAGCUGUCUGUCUCUCACUAUAGAGCUGUCUGUCUCUCACUAUGGAGCUGUCUGUCUCUCACUACAGGGCUGUCUGUCUGUCACUACAGGGCUGUCUCACACUACAGGGCUGUCUGUCUCUCACUAUGGAGCUGUCUGUCUCUCACUACAGGGCUGUCUGUCUGUCACUACAGGGCUGUCUCACACUACAGGGCUGUCUGUCUCUCACUAUGGAGCUGUCUGUCUCACACUAUGGAGCUGUCUGUCUCUCACUAUGGAGCUGUCUGUCUCUCACUAUAGAGCUGUCUGUCUCACACUACAGGAUUGUCUGUCUCUCACUACAGGGCUGUCUGUCUGUCACUAUGGAGCUGUCUGUCUCCCACUAUGGAGCUGUCUGUCUCUCACUAUAGAGCUGUCUGUCUCUCACUAAACAGCUGUCUGUCUCACACUAUGGAGCUGUCUGUCUCUCACUAUGGGGCUGUCUGUCUGUCACUAUACAGCUGUCUGUCUGUCACUAUGGAGCUGUCUGUCUGUCACUAUAGAGCUGGCUGUCUCUCACUAUAGAGCUGUCUGUCUCACACUAUGGAGCUGUCUGUCUCUCACUAUGGAGCUGGCUGUCUGUCACUAUACAGCUGUCUGUCUGUCACUAUAGAGCUGUCUGUCUUACACUAUGGAGCUGUCUGUCUCUCUCUAUAG
ensembl:lncRNA